rnacentral:rRNA from 1 species
GACGAACGCUGGCGGCGUGCCUAAUACAUGCAAGUUGAGCGCUGAAGGUUGGUACUUGUACCGACUGGAUGAGCAGCGAACGGGUGAGUAACGCGUGGGGAAUCUGCCUUUGAGCGGGGGACAACAUUUGGAAACGAAUGCUAAUACCGCAUAAAAACUUUAAACACAAGUUUUAAGUUUGAAAGAUGCAAUUGCAUCACUCAAAGAUGAUCCCGCGUUGUAUUAGCUAGUUGGUGAGGUAAAGGCUCACCAAGGCGAUGAUACAUAGCCGACCUGAGAGGGUGAUCGGCCACAUUGGGACUGAGACACGGCCCAAACUCCUACGGGAGGCAGCAGUAGGGAAUCUUCGGCAAUGGACGAAAGUCUGACCGAGCAACGCCGCGUGAGUGAAGAAGGUUUUCGGAUCGUAAAACUCUGUUGGUAGAGAAGAACGCUGGUGAGAGUGGAAAGCUCAUCAAGUGACGGUAACUACCCAGAAAGGGACGGCUAACUACGUG